AUGAAUGUGGCAUGGAUUUUCAUGAACCCUGUAUCAACAUGCCAGGUACAGCAUGGGCAGCAGCACUUAGUUCCAGAUACAUUGUCCCACCAGUGUGCCUCAAGCUUGGCCUGGAAGAAGGUUCCUAAGAUCCAGUCGCAAUGUCUCAUUCAGUCUUUGAGCUUAU
rnacentral:sRNA from 1 species